UACGAAGGGGGCUAGCGUUGUUCGGAAUUACUGGGCGUAAAGCGCACGUAGGCGGGACGAUAAGUCAGGGGUGAAAGCCCAAGGCUCAACCUUGGAAUUGCCUUUGAUACUGUCGUUCUUGAGUCCGGGAGAGGUGAGUGGAACUCCGAGUGUAGAGGUGAAAUUCGUAGAUAUUCGGAAGAACACCAGUGGCGAAGGCGGCUCACUGGCCCGGUACUGACGCUGAGGUGCGAAAGCGUGGGGAGCAAAC
rnacentral:rRNA from 1 species